UCAUUAUCAACCAUCAAGCUCUGCUUGGCAUUGAUUGUCACCCCUCCUAGCGAGGGGCGCGAUCUAAACUGGUCGGCUGUGGUCUGUGAACCGUUGGCGUUAGUAAAAACUCAUCGCUACUCGAUAACAGGACGCAAGCCUCCAAAACCCAACACCUCAAGGUUGACCUCGGAUCAGGUAGGGAUACCCGCUGAACUUAA
rnacentral:misc_RNA from 1 species